rnacentral:lncRNA from 1 species
GCCAUGGAACCAGGAGCAGUGCAAGCUGAUGUUUUCAUUCACACUUUGGGAAAAUGUUACUACACUUUGGGGAGAAAAGAAGAUGUUGCAACAUGGGUAUAUUAGUUACCUAUUGCUUGUGUAACAAAUUCCCACAAACUCAGUGGCUUAACAACACAAAUCUAUUAUCUCACAGUCCUGAAGGUCACAAAUUCAAAAUAAGUCUUAAUGGGCUAAACUCAG